UAUCUUGGGCAAACCACCCUGAACAUGCCCUAAUCUCAAAAGCUAAGCAGGGUUGGGCCUGGUUAGUACUUGGAUGGGAGAAUUCAAAGGUCUUCAUAAUCU
rnacentral:rRNA from 1 species